UACGUAGGGGGCAAGCGUUGUCCGGAUUUAUUGGGCGUAAAGAGCGUGUAGGCGGCCGUACAGGUCAGCUGUGAAAACUCGAGGCUCAACCUCGAGACGUCGGUUGAAACCGUACGGCUAGAGUCCGGAAGAGGAGAGUGGAAUUCCCGGUGUAGCGGUGAAAUGCGCAGAUAUCGAGAAGAACACCCGUGGCGAAGGCGGCUCUCUGGGACGGUACUGACGCUGAGACGCGAAAGCGUGGGGAGCGAACAGG
rnacentral:rRNA from 1 species